rnacentral:tRNA from 1 species
GCCACGACGUGCCGUUUGGGCGAACGCCCCGGCGAACGAGUCCUGCUGUUUCGUAAACAGCAGGUCACAGGUUCAAUUCCUGUCGUUGGCUCCA